rnacentral:misc_RNA from 1 species
GGUAAAAGAAAAUUUGUGAUUUUUCGCUGAUUUUAAUAUAUUCCACAUCCUUUUAUUCUAUUUUUAUAAAAAGCAACCUUAUGAGUCGAUACUCCUAGUGUUCAUUUUUAGAAAAGAAAAUUCAUUGCCCAUGUAAAGAAACCGUAUUUGUCAACUAUAAAAGAUCUCUGCUAUCUUCAAUAAAAUUCAUUCAACUUGUUUCUUUGAACAAGUUGAUUCUUCAGGUCACAAUAUGAAGAAGCUACCAAGCCUCUCUCUCAUAUCCUUCUACCACCUUACUUCCCUCCUCUUCAUCUUUGUUCAGUCUGCUCGCCCUCCAUUUGCUUGUGAUCCAUCUAAUAAAUUAACAAAAUCAUUUCCCUUUUGCAGAACAUCACUGCCUAUAAGCGAAAGGGUCAAAGACCUUGUCUCCAGACUCAGAUUGGAUGAGAAGGUCUUGCAACUUGCAGACACGGCAACUGCGAUUCCCCGGCUCGGGAUCCCUGCCUAUGAGUGGUGGUCUGAAGCAUUACACGGCGUCGCCUUCCUGCCUCAUGUAAGCAGCAGGCAAGGUAUCCAUUUCAAAGGAACCAUUACGAAUGCCACUAACUUCCCACAAGUCAUUCUCACUGCUGCAACAUUUGAUACCCACCUCUGGUAUCGCAUUGGUCAAGUAAGUACUGGUGGAAUUAUGAUCUAGACUCAUAUCCUUAAUAAACCCAUAUAAUUAUUUUUUUUUUUAUGAUUUUU